AUUGAACGCUGGCGGCAGGCCUAACACAUGCAAGUCGAACGGGUGGCGGACGGGUGGGCAAGGCAUGGGCAUCUAGCUUAUGGAGGGGGAUAACAACGGGAAACUAUAGCUAAUUCCGCGCAACAUAGGAUGAGCCGAAGGGGGUUUAGGUAGUUGGUGAGGUAAAGGCUCACGAAGCCGACGAUCUGUAGCUGGUCUGAGAGGAUGACCAGCCACACUGGGACUGAGACACGGCCCAGACUCCGACGGGAGGCAGCAGUGGGGAAUAUUGCGCAAUGGGCGCAACCUGACCCAGCCAUGCCGCGUGAGUGAAGAAGGCCUUCGGAUUGUAAAGUUCUUUCGGUAGCGAGGCGUUAACUACAGAAGAAGCACCGGCUAACUCCGUGCCAGCAGCCGCGGUAAUAC
rnacentral:rRNA from 1 species